rnacentral:lncRNA from 1 species
CCCAGGUGAAUUCAUUUAAACUGAUGAAGGAGGUGAGAAAGUAGGAGGAACGUGUUCUUUAAAUGUGAAAAAUAAUAGAGGAAGAAAUACGAUACGAUACGAUGUGUGAUUCAGAACAACAACAGGAGGUGAGUGAACCUCAGUGGCCAGAGAAUGGAGAGCAGUGGAGAGAUGAAGAGGACCAGACCAUGGACUGUGGGCUCCUGGAGGUCAUGGCUGAGGAGGACGAGGACAUCAAUGUCUACAAUCAGGAGACUUUUGGAACAGAUAUGGAUACAGAUGUGACCACAGACAAACCCAGCAGCAGUGUGCAGCUCCCUCCAACCCCCCCACCAUCUGAUGUCCAACCUCUCCCCCCCCACAGAACCCCCCCACCCCCCAGGCAGAGGCUCCAGCAUCAGUGUGGGUUUGUUCCAGGGCAGCGGGGCAGGGGUUACAGGGGUGGACAGGGCAGAGGCCAGAUGUUUGAAGACCC